CUUCUUCGAAACCCUAAAACCAAAACUAAGUCAAUCUCCUUUGUUCAUUCUAUGAUUCAUCUUCCAUGAAAAAGUUUCUACUUUUAGAUUUCCUCUCGAUCGAUUUGUUGUUGUGACUUGUGAGAUACGGUUUCUAUGAUCUAGGGUUAGAUAUGAAGCAGAGCGAUCAAACGUGGCUGUCGAAGCUUUUGGUUCCUCUUCUUCUUCUUCUUCGUCUCUCUCUCUCUCUCUCUCUCUCUCUCUGUUUUGGUUACUCUUCGUGUUCAUGGUGGUGCUCUUGCUUCCUCUUUCUCCUUCAAGGUCACUAUGAUGUUCUCUCUUACUAUGAAGAUUUGAUCAAUAGAACUUCCUCACAGUUAUCAAAAAGAAGAAGGAUCAUGUAGCAUCAGACCAUUACAACAUUUAUAACUGAGGGUGAAUACUCAUCAAGGUUCGAUGGUACUUCAGAUUUCACUGGU